CGCGGAAAGACUAACUUAAACAAUUUCGUACACGCGGGGAACAAAAUUUUCCCACUUUACUUCACUCACUCUCUCUCGCCCUUCCCCGAAACCUAUCCCCCUCCUCCUCCUCCUCUCUCUCUCUCUCUCUUACCCCCGUCCACACUGAACUGGAACCACAAAACCCUAGAAAACGAAUUCGAAGAGAUUUCUUUGUGGCUCAUCUCGGAGGUGCAGCCUGGCGUUGACUCGUCGGAGGAUGGCGAAGAAGAUGGUGGCUACGGUGAGCCCACUCCGGUGGUUGGAGAUCGUGACGGAGAAGAGAGUGUCCUCCAGAUCCACUUUGUCUCGUGGAGUUCUUGUUUCCUUUCUGUUCAGCACCCAACCUCCUCCUCCAUCUCCAAACGGCACCGAACCGUCCUCUUCUUCCUUCUCCACCUCCGACCAGAACCCGUCUAAGAACGAAGAGGAGAGAGAGGUCGGGUGCGAGGGGUUAGGGCUCAAAGAUGGUGGAUGUUCCAGAGUUCAAGGCCUCCGUUUCAGAGACGAAUUGGAGCAACUCCGAAAGAAGUCUGGGUAAUUUGAAUCUUUUUAGUUUAUGGAUUUGGUUUUGUGUCUUUGAAGUAUUUGUGAGUGGUUUUCUUAAGUUUCUUCACUUUUGUGUGAUUCCUUCUUUAAUUUAUUGAAUGGAUUGGAUUAUUGGCAUGAUAGUCAUAUGAAGAUAUAGAUCCUCUAGGCUUUUUUUUUGAUUGAGGAUGGAACAGAAAAUUGAACUAUCGCCAAAAAUGGUAUACCCAGAAAAGUUCUGCUGUUGAUUUUAUGAAAUUCAUAACUUCAGAGAUAUAUUGACUGCAGAGGAGCUUAAUCCCUUUCUUGAUGGCUCUGCACAAUCACAGAUGCACUUCCUUUGACAAUUAUUUUACUUUGUUCGUCAGUUACACUACUUUUGUACAUAUGUGAAGGUAUCCAUCUGCCCACGGAGCAGUAUUGCUUUCGCUUGUGAAAACUGAAAAGUUGAACCCUUGAUGUGCUAUUUUCAAAGGGCCAUUGAUAAAGCACUUCUCUUCCCUUGUCAAGUGGACGAGGGCGGCAUCUGCCAAAGCACCCCAAUCAGAUGGGAAUGUUGUUCAGUUUGAGAGUGGGUACUUAGUCGAGACUGUUGUGGAAGGAACUGACAUUGGAGUUGUUCCUUUCAAGAUCCGCAUUUCAGAGGAUGGCGAGCUCUUUGCUGUGGAUUCUAUUAAUAGCAACAUUGUUCGGAUUACUCCUCCGUUGUCCCAAUGUAUGCAAAAGUAUUUACUUGCAGUUGACACAUUUACUUCAAAGUAUUUACUUUCAAGGUAUCAUUUAUGCUCUUCCAAUUGACACAUUGUUUUCCAAAGUUUGUUUACUUGCAGUUUAUGCUUCUUCUACCCUUUUUCUACUUUGUCUGCACUGUCAUAUUAUGGAUUGUUGUUUUUGAGCAUUGGUGAGGUUAUUUCAUUAUCAUCAAUGAGAGAUCUCACCAAAGUUCCCUUAAUUAAAAGACAAGUCACUAGUUCUGGUUCAUGAUCGAUCUUGAAGCAAAGAAAGGAUUGAGGAAUAACGCAAGGACAUGCAAAAGUUUAUUUGUUUUCCUCGAGAGUGUUCAUGCGCACACUCUUCUCUUUCUCAAUGCAUUUAUUUCAUUGUCCCUUUGAUAUCAUCAGUCAGAGAUCUCACCAAAGUCCCCCUAUUGGUAAAACAAAUUUCUAGUUCUGGUUCUUAUCAGAUAAAACUCUCAAUUUACUAAUACUUCACCAAUCAUUAGUAACCAUCAUCAUAAUUAUUAUUUAUGCUAUUCAUGACUAACAGUUAGAUUUUGUCUUCAGGAAAGAUAUAAUUCCAUGGUUUCCAUGGAUGGUAAUGCAGAACUUCAAAUAUUAUCAUUCAAAGCCACUAAGAUUAGGCUUUUACGUAGCCUAUGUAUUCACAUUCAAACAAUGCAGGUUCAUUCGCAGCUACACCAAGGACUGGAAAUUCAAGUUACAAGUAUUUUUAUCUUAUAACAAACUGCUAUUUUUUUUUCUUUUUCUUUUUAGUGUAUCUACAAACCGUUUUUGUCUUCAUAUGGUUUAUUUAGGAGACUUCAAUCUUGUUCUUUUCUUUUGCUAUUGUAUAUGGAGAAGUUUAGGCCAUAUGUCCCCUUCUCCCUACUCUUUGUACUGUUUUUAUCAAUAAUAUUAAUGAGAAUUUUCUUUUGCUUA